UCGUCCCUUCUCUUGGCCAGCGACGACUGGGCGAUAUCGAUACUGCUCUACGGGUGCCGCACCGGUGCGCCACCCCCGCCUUCUAAGACUCCAUACCAGUCCUGGGCAAGAUGCGGAAAAAUAAGAGGGUUGGUGAUGAUCUCACAAGAAGCUUGCAUGGGGGAAGAAGAGCUAAGAGGGCGACGAUGAUCUCAAAAGAAUCUUGCGAAGGAAUAGAAGAGACAAUCCAGAUCCCAGGUGACUUACAUGGUGACUCGAAUCAAGAUGUGUUGACUGAGCUCAGCGAUGAAGUUAAAUCAAAUAUGUCGAAAAGUGUUGCCUCACUUGCUGUGUGCAGUGGUGAUUACACACUCCUUUAUUUCCAAGAAAUCUAUAGAAAUGUUUUUUCCAACAAACACCACCACUUACAAAGGAUUUAUAUUAUACAGUCUUCUGUAGGGG